GGCAACGUGGCCGAGUGGUCUAAGGCGCUGGAAUUAGGUAUAUUAUUUGCCAUCCAGUCCGAAAGGGCGCGAGUUCGAACCUCGCCGUUGUCA
rfam:Hypholoma sublateritium FD-334 SS-4 unplaced genomic scaffold scaffold_102, whole genome shotgun sequence.